rnacentral:rRNA from 1 species
AGAGUUUGAUCAUGGCUCAGAUUGAACGCUGGCGGCAUGCUUUACACAUGCAAGUCGAACGGCAGCGGGGGCUUCGGCCUGCCGGCGAGUGGCGAACGGGUGAGUAAUGCAUCGGAACGUGCCCAUGUUGUGGGGGAUAACUACGCGAAAGCGUAGCUAAUACCGCAUAAGCCCUGAGGGGGAAAGCGGGGGAUUCUUCGGAACCUCGUGCGAUUGGAGCGGCCGAUGUCGGAUUAGCUAGUAGGUGAGGUAAAGGCUCACCUAGGCGACGAUCCGUAGCGGGUCUGAGAGGAUGAUCCGCCACACUGGGACUGAGACACGGCCCAGACUCCUACGGGAGGCAGCAGUGGGGAAUUUUGGACAAUGGGCGCAAGCCUGAUCCAGCCAUGCCGCGUGAGUGAAGAAGGCCUUCGGGUUGUAAAGCUCUUUCGGCCGGGAAGAAAUCGUGUUCUCUAACAUAGGACAUGGAUGACGGUACCGGACUAAGAAGCACCGGCUAACUACGUGCCAGCAGCCGCGGUAAUACGUGGGGUGCGAGCGUUAAUCGGAAUUACUGGGCGUAAAGCGUGCGCAGGCGGUUUUGUAAGACAGAUGUGAAAUCCCCGGGCUUAACCUGNGAACUGCGUUUGUGACUGCAAGGCUCGAGU